ensembl:ncRNA lncRNA:CR46451 long non-coding RNA:CR46451
UGUCUGCUGUCUUCAGCUGCCGUUGCCUUUUCUUCUCCUCUCGGUUUAUUCUUUUUUUUUCUUGUGUGUCUGUUUCGUUUUUAUGUUUUUUUGUUGGUUUUGGCGCUGUCGGAAAAUGUCCGUUGCCAUUUCCAUUGCAGCCGUCUUCCGUUUGGGCGCUGUCCCUCCGUCGUUUGCCAUGCCCCCGUGUAAUUAGCUGGGUUCCCUAUCUUCGACAUUGUCUGGCAUUUCUCGGGUAUUUAUGUACUUUGCUGCAGACAGGACAAGCUACAUACAAUUUGGUUCAAAUGCCAUUGAUCUUGAACUUGAUUCAACUCAUAAGUGCAUUCAUCAGACAAAUCUGUCGACAGACAUGCGUUUAUUUCCUUGACUCGUCGCCAGCAAAUAAUUUCAAGCUUGAGUUCGCAUUCAGUGGACUAGAAAGAAAGUCAAUGUCGAAGAGCCUCUAUUAAAUUAGCAUUUCGCUGUCGCCCUGGCACGCUCUUCCGAGUAAUGCCCAUUCCCAUGUCCCAGUCUCCACUGCAACUCCGGAUCCGGACGAGACGGCAUAUCUCCGGUGCUUGGCCAGCUGAUGAUGAUGACUGGAGAUUUCUGGCAGCGAACGGCGCCAGAGAAUCGUAAAAUAUUUUUAUACAAAUAUCGCAGCAGUUAGAACAAAAGAUUUGAUUUGAAAAUGUAACGCUUCACGCCUGCAAAAAUACCGACAAAGAAAUGUCACACAAAAGACAGUGGGAUGCAAGCAGAUCUCUGUUCAGAUACACUAGGUGGACCUUCGGAUAAAUCAGGUGUAAUUGCGUCAUGCGGGUGCAUGGUAAACUAGAUCGACAGUAAACCUAAUCGAGACAGAGACACAUAAGUUGACGCGACAUCGGCACAGCCCAUAAAGUGACCACGCUCCUUGGAUUCCAAGGAUUCCCAGGACAGGUCGUUUUGCGGUGUGUCUCGCCUUGCUGGGUGUGAAGUGUCCCGUGGGCGGCGGUGUCUUUAGUUGCUCAAGAUGCAUGUACCUGAGCACAGUCGUCUGUCGCCAAUUGAAGUAAUAAUUUUCUAUUGUCCUUCGUCGCGCCUUCCUCCAUAAAGCAAAUGUACUUCAGAGCACUGAGAAGGACGCGACAAGUGGCUGGCUCUGGGUACUCUGUUCGGUUCAAGUAGCCAAGUGGCGCCAGACGAUCCAAGUCCCUCGGCCAGAGGACAUCUUUGUGAGUCCGCUAUCUGCCGCCUUGGAUCUGCAGAUGCUGAACGGUAGCGGUCAAGCUGCCAGAGGUUGACAACGACAUAUGUUCGUGCUGGAUAAGAUUGGGCCAGAGAAGAUUAGCUGCCGGGGAGAAGGGAUUUGGAUUGGGUAUACGGGUGGACGGAAGCUCUCGAACAACCCACACAAUCUCUUAGGCAAAAGACAGGUUACAUUUCCCCAGUUCGACAGAUCAAUAAAUCAUGGACAACCCUAAUUAACCAGUUCGUGGCCACGAAAACCCGUGUGUCACCUGCCUGGAUGCUCGAAAGAUCAGAUGAUCGUGAGCUGCCAAAACUACAAGUUACACAUAAUUUACCACGGACAAAAGGCAAAUGUCAUAAAAUAAUAUAAAUGAUAUAAACGACACUGUCUGCGCCUAAUAAGACAGGGCGUGGCCAAGUCCAGAAUCCAUAGUCCUGGGAAAACGGCAUGGGCAUCAAGAUGCAAACUACACGAUAAAGUUAGCUGGUUAGGCGCCUGCAACUAAAUGCUAAACGAGUUAACCCGCUGAUAGAGAUCUUCACUGUUUUUUUUUUAUCCCCAGGUUUUUUUUCUUGGUUUUUGGUAGAUACUAAGCCGGUGCUCAAGGUGCGUCGAGAGCAUCAUUAAGGCAGGAAGGCAAAGGUAACUACGGGACGGGAGUCCAGACCACAAGCAACGAUGAUUUAAUUUUCCAACACGCUUUCUACCACGCCAGCAUAAAGCAUCGUUGAAUCUCAAAAUCUGGGGUUUUGAAUUUGGAUUUUUCUCGUUUUUUUUUUUUUUUGCUUUUUGGUAUUCCAUGGAUGAUCGAUGGCCUGUCGUUGAGAUGAUCACUUUCUGUAGCUGCCUAGCGGCUACUAGUUGAGAUACUUAACGACGAUCCAAGAGGGCGCCACUCGGGCCUUAUAAUUUGUUAAGAUGUUUGGAUCGAUGGAUGGAUGGAUCGAUCGAUGGAUGAUUGGGGAUGCCUGGAUUGAUUGCCCUUUCUCUGCAUAAUAUUUAUGUAUGUAUAUUUCUCACGCGGCGCGAGAGAGCCGCAUUCUCGUAUGCAUUUUGGGCGACCGAAAGUGCUUUUCUGGGCUACCGAUAAUCGCGGCGAUCAUCUGCAGUAGGAGACGCCAUCAUCGCCUUAUCAGCGACUCGGCAUCUGAGAACAUUAAAUAGCUACUUAAGAUACAGCUUCCCGACGGCUGCAGUGGUAUCGCUUCCAUGCCAUAUCGAUUACCAUUAAGCCGAGGGCAAUUGACCUGAACCCAACAGAAGUCGAACGGUGUGUAAUCGAUACGAUCGGCUAUCUAUGGUUGAUCUUUUGCCAGGCAGAUAUUUCGCAACUGUGUCGGCAUUUUCAGCCUGUGAUCACUGAUCAACCUAGCCAUGAUCUAUGAUUGCCCCGGGCCGUUUGCCAUUUGCCAGUUGUUAGUUGCCAAAUGCCCGAAGCCUCCAGCUACACAUAUAUUAUAUGUACAUAUGUACAUACAUACAUAUGUACACCCAUUUCUAUCGACUCAUUUGGCAUGCCGCUCACAGCUCACUCGCACUAAUUAAAAUAAAUUCUGUCAGACAUUCUCGUUUAAUUUUUUCGCGCACCUUGUUGCUUUGUUUUUUUGACCAGAUCCAUGGAUACCAAACGUUGAAGCGAGAAAACAAGCAAUAAAUACGUCAGCAGCCAAUACGUCAAAGGCAUUUCGACUGACAGACUGACUGCGCUGGCAACUUAAAAUGCACAUUAUUAAUUAGUUGUUAUAAUUGCAUUUAAAAAUCCAUUAAUAUUUAUAGAAUUCAUAAUAAAUAAUGAGGAUCGGUCUGGCAUGGACCAAACUGGAGCUCUCGAGACGGCGACAUCGACGCCUCCAAAUGCCAAAAUGGUAUUUUUCGUUGGACAGGACGGACUUUUGGACCAAGUUUGGCAAUUUAUGCGUCCAGAUUCGUGAUGUGUGUGGCAUAUAUGAAGCCCAGUCACAAGUUGCCUUUGACAAAUUCUCCAAGAAUGUGUCCGCAAGAUUUCAGGGCAUUGCAGCGGGCAUAUCAGCAAUGUAGUGCGGUUUGUUUCACUUCACAUAAGGAUUCAGUUAAUCUAGAGAUUAAGUACCCUUCUCUGGUUGAAUAUUACAAGCUAACUAUAUACUAUAUUAAACCGAAGAAAAAAAAAUAUUUCUCUGAACUUAUUUUAUGAAAAAGUUGAUAUAUAUUGAAAUAACAAGUUAUGAAAAGUUAAAUUAUAAAAACUAAGACCUCAGCAAUCAUGUUUUUCCAGGAUCUGAUACUUAGUUGUUUUUAAUGAUUCCAAAUUGCACCUAAAUAGGUAUUUUAUGAGGCUAGUAUACUUUGAAUACUGUGAAUUUUUGUAAUAAAUGUUUCUAUUUAAAAAACUCUA